GACGAACGCUGGCGGCGUGCUUAACACAUGCAAGUCGAACGGAAAGGCCCUGCUUUUGUGGGGUGCUCGAGUGGCUAACGGGUGAGUAACACGUGAGUAACCUGCCCUUGACUUUGGGAUAACUUCAGUAAACUGGGGCUAAUACCGGAUAUGAGCUCCUGCUGCAUGGUGGGGGUUGGAAAGUUUCGGCGGUUGGGGAUGGACUCGCGGCUUAUCAGCUUGUUGGUGGGGUAGUGGCUUACCAAGGCUUUGACGGGUAGCCGGCCUGAGAGGGUGACCGGCCACAUUGGGAAUGAGAUACGGCCCAGACUCCUACGGGAGGCAGCAGUGGGGAAUAGUGCACAAUGGGCGGAAGCCUGAUGCAGCAACGACGCGUGCGGGAUGACGGCCUUCGGGUUGUAAACCGCUUUCGCCUGUGACGAAGCGUGAGUGACGGUAAUGGGUAAAGAAGCACCGGCUAACUACGUG
rnacentral:rRNA from 1 species